AAGUCGUAACAAGGUUUCCGUAGGUGAACCUGCGGAAGGAUCAUUAGAAAUCACCGGCUUAGCCGGUAUAAAAUUCUAUCCACCCUUGUGUGCAAACAAUGGAAGAAAAGAGAGCCAUUUGGAUACUUUUGUAUCCAAUCUCUCUAAAAAUUUUUAUAAACUCCAUCAAAUUUUGAAUAAAACUAAUUUUUUUUUUAAAUAAAAAUAUUAUACAACUUUCAACAACGGAUCUCUUGGCUCUC
rnacentral:misc_RNA from 1 species